GCCUGUCUAGCUCAGUCAGUAGAGCAUCAGACUCUCAAUCUCAGGGUUGUGGGUUCAAGCCCCACGAUGGGUG